rnacentral:rRNA from 1 species
GACGAACGCUGGCGGCGUGCCUAAUACAUGCAAGUAGACCUUAGUGGCGAACGGGUGAGUAACACGUGGGUAAUCUGUCCAACAGCGGGGUAUAACACUUGGAAACAGGUGCUAAUACCGUAUACUGAUGGAUGGACACUCGGUGAAUUAGCUAGUUGGUGAGGUAACGGCUCACCAAGGCCACGAUGCAUAGCCGACCUGAGAGGGUGUUCGGCCACAUUGGGACGGAGACACGGCCCAAACUCCUACGGAAGGCAGCAGUAGGGAAUCUGCGGCAAUGGACGAAAGUCGGACCGAGCAACGCCGCGGGAGUGAAGAAGGUUUUCGGAUCGUAAAACUCUGUUGUUAGAGAAGCGGUAUCUAACCAGAAAGCCACGGCUAACUACGUGCCAGCAGCCGCGGUAAUAC